rnacentral:snoRNA from 1 species
UACGGGUAGUGAUGAUUUUUUUAAAUGAAGCAGAUGGGAAUCUCUCUGAAAAAGACUGAAGAUUUUAAAAAACUGAAACAGUG